AUACGGAGGGUGCAAACGUUGCUCGGAAUUACUGGGCGUAAAGGAUGGCUAGGUGGUCUCGUUUGUCGGAGGUGAAAUCCCUGGGCUUAACCCAGGAAGUGCCUUGGAAACGGCGAGACUGGAGUUCUGGAGAGGGUUGUGGAAUUACCGGUGUAGCGGUGAAAUGCGUAGAGAUCGGGAGGAACACCAGAGGCGAAGGCGGCAACCUGGACAGAUACUGACACUCAACCACGAAAGCAUGGGUAGCAAACAGGAUUAGAAACCCCGGUAGUCC
rnacentral:rRNA from 1 species